GCACGGAGUAGAUAAAGAUUUCACUUAGUGGCGCAAGGGUGAGUAACACGUGGUUAUCUACUCUAGACUGGGAUAACAGUUAGAAAUGAUUGCUAAUACCGGAUGAUAAAUAGUUAGAUAAGUCUUUACUAUUUUAAAAGAUCCCCUUAAAGGAUCACUAAGAGAUGAGCUUGCGGCGCAUUAGCUAGAUGGUGGGGUAAUGGCCUACCAUGGCGACGAUGCGUAGCCGGACUGAGAGGUCGAUCGGCCACAUUGGGACUGAGACACGGCCCAAACUCCUACGGGAGACAGCAGUUAGGAAUAUUCGUCAAUGGAGGAAACUCUGAACGAGCAAUGCCGCGUGAAUGAUUGACAGUCUUUGGAUUGUAAAGUUCUGUUGUUGGGGAAGAAUGUGUUAUAUAGGAAAUGAUAUAACAGUGACGGUACCCUUCAAGAAAGCUCCGGCUAACUACGUGCCAGCCGCGGC
rnacentral:rRNA from 1 species